AUAGGGAACGUGAGCUGGGUUUAGUCCGUCGUGAGACAGGUUAGUUUUAUCCUACUGAUGAGCGGGUGCUGUGGCAGUAAUUGAGGUUAGUACGAGAGGAACCCCUGAUUCACGUAAUUGGUGUUGGGCUUGGCUGAGCAGGCAGUGGCCCGAAGCUAUACGUGUGGGUUUAGGGCUGAACGCCUCUAAGUCCGAAACCCUGCUGGAGGCGGCGUCAAGUUUGGG
rnacentral:rRNA from 1 species